UACAUUUCGUACAUUCAGUUAUUUGUUUGUUAUCCUUAUAAAGUAAUAUACAGUCAUUUUUAUAUACAUGUAUAGGAAUAUAGCCAAGUCUCAUUUUUCGCAUGUAUAUUUUUACUUCAGAAUAUGAUUUUGAAAGUCGCCCUCCAUCGAAAAAAAUUGCUUUAAUCAAUGCUAAAAUUUAAUCAAAUGACUUCUAACUCCAUCGGUUCAUAAUUUUAAUAUGAAGUAAUUUUAUCAAAAACUCUAACUUGAAAAAUUUUAUACAAUUUGGAUAGAGUGGCUCUUGUGCAUCCCUCACAAGCUUUGCAAACUGUUCAAAAGUCCUUUCUAUCUCAAGCCGGAUAUUAUGUUCAUGAUCAGAAUUGCUUUCAGAUGUAGUAGCACUCAUGCAUACAUUUGAACAAGCACCUUGAUGUAAGUCAUCUAAUAAUUUUCUAUACCAUUAUGUUUGACAGAUCCAGUAGCAUCACUAUCAUCUUCAGUAUCAUCUUCGUCAUGCACCACUUCAUUCAGAUCAACCUCUCCAUGCCAUAUCCUACAAGUAUACUUCUUAUCCAUACCAUAUUAUAGCAGAUGCUCCUCAACAAAUGUUAUAUGACAAUAUACUAUAUUGAUAUAUCUCUUACAUGGAUACUUUAUCUGACUAGCACUGUCAGUCAUAUACCGUGCAAACUCAAUAAAAUCUCGAACUCCUUUUCGAUAUUCAGAUAAAAAAAUAUCUCUAGGAUUCAUCCAAUUUUUAUUGAUAUCCAUCUAACAACAAACACA
rnacentral:lncRNA from 1 species